rnacentral:rRNA from 1 species
GGAGUCUGGUCCGUGUCUCAGUACCAGUGUGGGGGACCUUCCUCUCAGAACCCCUAACGAUCGUAGGCCAGGUGGGCCGUUACCCCGCCUACUACCUAAUCAGACGCAUCCCCAUCCAUAAGCGAUAAAUCUUUAUUCCAUCUCAGAUGUCUUUAAUGGAAACCAUAGGGCAUUAAUCUUACUUUCGCAAGGCUAUUCCCUACUUAUGGGCAGGUUGGAUACGCGAUACUCACCCGUGCGCCGGUCGUCAUCAAAGAAAGCAAGCUUUCUUCAUGUUACCCCUCGACUUGCAUGUGUUAAGCCUGUAGCUAGCGUUCAUC